rnacentral:lncRNA from 1 species
GUCAUUCCUAAUAGACCAUCUUAUAGAAUGAGUCCACAAGAGCAUGCUGAAAUCACACGUCAAGUUGAAGAAUUGCUGAAGAAAGGACUAAUACAGGAAAGUGUUAGCCCUUGUGCUGUUUCUGCAAUUUUAGUACCCAAAAAGGAUGGAAGCUGGAGAAUGUGUGUUGAUAGUCGAGUUGUCAACAAGAUUACAAUCAAAUAUCGAUUUCCGAUACCUAGACUUGAUGAUUUAUUAGAUCAGUUGCAUGGUGCCACCAUAUUUUAAAAGAUUGAUCUUCGAAGUGGAUACCAUCAAAUCAGGCUUAGGCCAGGAGAUGAAUGUAAGACUGCAUUCAAAACAAGAGAUGUCUUAUAUGAAUGGACAGUGAUGCCCUUUGGGUUAUCUAAUGCUCCAAGUACCUUCAUGCGUCUAAUGAAUCAAGUACUUCGACCAUUCAUUGGCAAAUUUGUAGUUGUAUACUUUGACGAUAUCUUGAUCUACAACAAACAUAAAGAUGAACACUUAGAGCAGCUUCGACAAGUGCUACAAACUCUUCGCGAACAAAAACUCUUAUGCAAAUUUGAAGAAAUGUUCUUUCCUAACCAAUGAGGUUACUUUUCUGGGUUACAUAAUCACUGCUGAAGGUGUUCGAGUUGACCCCAGCAAGGUUGAGGCUAUCAAUAGGUGGCCUAUUCCAAAGUCAAUUCAUGAUGUGAGAAGUUUCCAUGGAUUAGCUUCAUUUUAUAGAAGGUUCAUCAAGAACUUUAGCUCUGUUGCUGCCCCGCUUACAGAUUGCAUAAAGGGAGAUAAGUUCCAAUGGACCGAGCAAUCACAAAAGAGUUUUGACCACCUAAAACAACUUUUGACUGAAACACCUGUGCUAGCCCUUCCCAACUUUGACCAGGUGUUCGAAGUAAGUUGUGACGCUUCCAAUUCAGGAAUUGGUGCGGUUCUAUGUCAAGAAGGUCAUCCUAUAGCCUUCUUUAGUGAAAAGCUCAACAAUGGUAAACUUAGAUAUUCAACAUAUGAUAAAGAAUUUUAUGCCAUUGUCCGAGCCUUGCAACAUUGGAGUCAUUACUUGUUGAAUAAAGAAUUUAUUCUUUAUUCUGAUCAUGAAGCCCUUAAACAUUUGAAUUCUCAACAAAAGAUCAAUCGCAGGCAUGCCGCUUGGAGUGAGUUUUUACAAGCUUAUCCGUUCUCUCUAAAACAUAAGGCGGGAGUUCAAAAUGUUGUUGCAGAUGCUCUUAGCAGGCGUCAUACCCUACUUGCCACUAUGCAAAUGAAAGUCAUUGGAUUUGAGACAGCCAAAGAGUUAUACAAAGAUGAUCCAGAUUUUCAAAAGUUUUGGAAUGCCACUUAUUCACAAUCCUCUCAGGACUACUACAGACAUGAAGGAUUUUUGUUCAAAGGAAAAACCUUAUGUAUUCCCCAGUGCUGUCUACGUGAAGCCAUUAUUUGGGAAGCCCAUGAUGGAGGAUUAGCAGGUCAUUUUGGACGAGAUAAAACUAUUGCUUUAGUGAAAGAAAAUUUCCAUUGGCCAAGACUUGAAAGAGAUGUCUACAAACAUAUUCAAAGAUGUCGAGUCUGCCAUUUGGCCAAGGCCAAAAGCCAAAACACUGGUUUUUACAUGCCACUCCCUGUUCCAGAAGCACCUUGGGAAGAUGUUAGCAUGGACUUUGUCCUUGGAUUGCCUCGGACACAACGCCAGAAAGAUUCUGUGAUGGUAGUUGUGGACAGAUUUUCAAAGAUGGCUCAUNCCUUGUUAUCAUCAAAACUCAAUAAGGUUCAUUGUGAAACACACUUUGUUCCAACACCACUUCCUUCAUGUAUCACCACAAUUUGAAAUAUAUAAAACUUGAGUUUCUCAUUUGAGAGUUAGAGAGUGGAUUCUCUCUUGGUUUCUGAGCCGUAUUGGCAUUAGAGCAAGGUUCUAAGGGUUUUCUAAGGGUUUCUUGAAGAAAAAGAGCUGCCACCUUCGAAACUCUACUUUGCGGUCAUUUUUUCGCAAAACUAACUCCGCCAUUGCUUUCUGAAGGCCGAAAAACCUUGGACUGGAGGUUUUUGUCACCAACGGAGCCUCCACGAGCCGCCAAAUGACUCGCCGGACCACCACCCGCCGCCACUAACCACCGCCGGAAGUCUAGAGGUUGAAGACGACCAGUCAGCAACCACGUGUCACUUAAACCAAUAACUUGCUGCCACGUGUCAACCUGACACAUCACCUGACAUGUCCAGUCAUCGACAAGUCAGCCUCCACAUCCCUGCCACGUGUCACCCAGUGCCACGUCAUGACCCAGUCACCCAAAAUUUCCAGAAAUUGCAAAUUUUCCCCAAAACUUUUCAGAAAUUUCAUAUUUGCCCCAAAACUUUCUGAAAUUAGAAAAUUGCCCCUCAACUUUCAAAAAAUUGCAGAAUUACCCUUUUUUUUUAAAUUGCAAAUUUGCCCAUAUUCUUUAUGGAAUUACAAUUUUACCCUUGUUCAAAAAUUGUGAAUUUUCAGGAAAUCCUUCCUUUUUAGUGCUAUUAUAAUAGACAAUUUCUAUUAUGCUCUGUGGUUGCAGUUUAAUCUGAUCUUCCACAUCAGAAAAUAAUUAUUCUAUUUUAUAGUAUUUAUACUCAUUUCACCCUUUAAAAAAAAAAUAAAAAAUAAAAAAAUAUGCCUCCAAGAAAAAACGACCAAACACUUAGGGAUAUUCAAAUGGAAGAAAUGAGAAGACAAAUCCAACAGUUACAAGAAACUGUAAAUGCACAACAAGCACAAUUGGAAGCCCAACACAUGCAAUCAGACGUUGAUGAAUCAAGUAGCGAAUCAUCAUCAUUAAGAAGUCGUCGUCCACAAAGACAAUCAUUCAGAGACAACGACAUCAAGGUAGAUAUUCCUGAUUUUGAAGGAAAUCUACAUCCAGAUGAGUUCGUUGAUUGGCUCCAAACUGUUGAAAGAGUCUUCGAGUAUAAAGAGAUACUUGAAGAAAAGAAAGUCAAGAUCAUUGCUGUCAAAUUAAAGAAGCAUGCUUCCAUUUGGUGGGAAAAUCUAAAAAUGAAGCGAGUCCGUGAAGGAAAAAGCAAGAUCAAGACUUGGGAGAAAAUGCGUCGAGAACUAAGCAAAAAGUUCUUGCCUUCUCACUAUUAUCAAGAUAGUUUUAUUCAACUACAGAACCUUCGUCAGAAAAACUUGUCUGUAGAAGAAUACACUAGAGAAUUUGAGAAGUUAAUGAUGAAGUGCGACAUUCAUGAAAGGCAGGAGCAGACAAUAGCUCGUUACCUUGGUGGAUUAAACACUGACGUUGCUCAUCCAGUUCAGCUCCAACAAUACUGGUCAUUAGACGAUGUUGUUCGUUUGGCCAUGCGAGUGGAGAAACAUUUACCCAAGAAGCAUUCUUAUAGGAAUUUUUCCUCCACUGAGAAUUCUUCUUAUCCCCGCAAAACAGACAACGAUCAGCCCAGUACUUCUACAAAACCUUCUCCUAAACCCACUACAGAAAAUAAACCCAAAGCUACCAAGUGUUUCAAAUGUCAAGGUUUUGGACAUAUAGCUUCAAAUUGUCCAACACGAAGAACCAUCACCAUCAUCAAAGGAGAAGCUUAUGAAGAUGUUGAUGAGGAAACAAACCGAGAUGAACCAGAAAAAGAAGAAGUGUUAGAGCCAAUUUAUGAUGAAGAGCUCAUUGUUGCUGAUCAUGGCGAGUCUCUGGUGAUCAGACGAAGCCUACACGCGAUGUCAGCUCAAGAAGAGCAUUGGUUGAGGAAAAACAUUUUCCAUACUCGUUGCACCACUGCUGGAAAAGUUUGUGAUGUUAUAAUAGACAGUGGUAGUUGUGAAAAUGUGGUGUCGAACUACAUGGUAGAGAAGUUAGAGAUGCCAACACAAAGUCAUCCUCAUCCUUACAAACUACAAUGGCUCAACAAAGGUAGUGAAGUGAAGGUUACGAAGCGUUGCCUUGUGAGUUUUUCCAUUGGUCAGAAGUAUCAAGAUCAAGUUUGGUGUGAUGUCGUCCCAAUGGAUGCAUGUCAUCUUCUCCUUGGAAGACCCUGGCAAUACGAUCGUCGUGCCCAUCAUGAUUGUUAUGCCAACACCUACUCCUUUGUCAAAGAUGGAGUAAAAAUCAAGUUAACUCCAUUACCACCGAGUGGACUUGAUAAAAACAAAAAUGAGUCCAAGCCAUUAGUGUCUUUAAUCACUAAGACUCAGUUCAAAGAAGCUGUGGACGAAGUCCAAACCAUGAGCUUUAUUCUAAUGUUCGAAGAAAAUGCAGAAACUGUCCUUCCAGUAGAAAUUGAACAAAUGCUCAGUGAAUUCCCAGAUGUAGUACCAGAAGACGUUCCACAAGGAUUGCCGCCGAUGCGAGACAUUCAACAUGCUAUUGACUUUAUUCCUGGAGCUGUCAUUCCUAAUAGACCAGCUUAUAGAAUGAGUCCACAAGAGCAUGCUGAAAUCACACGUCAAGUUGAAGAAUUGCUGAAGAAAGGACUAAUACAGGAAAGUGUUAGCCCUUGUGCUGUUCCUGCAAUUUUAGUACCCAAAAAGGAUGGAAGCUGGAGAAUGUGUGUUGAUAGUCGAGCUGUCAACAAGAUUACCAUCAAGUAUCGAUUUCCGAUACCUAGACUUGAUGAUUUAUUAGAUCAGUUGCAUGGUGCCACCAUCUUUUCAAAGAUUGAUCUUCGAAGUGGAUACCAUCAAAUCAGGCUUAGGCCAGGAGAUGAAUGGAAGACUGCAUUCAAAACAAGAGAUGGCUUAUAUGAAUGGACAGUGAUGCCCUUUGGGUUAUCUAAUGCUCCAAGUACCUUCAUGCGUCUAAUGAAUCAAGUACUUCGACCAUUCAUUGGCAAAUUUGUAGUUGUAUACUUUGACGAUAUCUUGAUCUACAGCAAACACAAAGAGGAACACUUAGAGCAGCUUCGACAAGUGCUACAAACUCUUCGCGAACAAAAACUCUAUGCAAAUUUGAAGAAAUGUUCUUUCCUAACCAAUGAGGUUACUUUUCUGGGUUACAUAAUCACUGCUGAAGGUAUUCGAGUUGACCCCAGCAAGGUUGAGGCUAUCAAUAGUUGGCCUAUUCCAAAGUCAAUUCAUGAUGUGAGAAGUUUCCAUGGAUUAGCUUCAUUUUAUAGAAGGUUCAUCAAGAACUUUAGCUCUGUUGCUGCCCCG